rnacentral:rRNA from 1 species
GACGAACGCUGGCGGCGUGCUUAACACAUGCAAGUCGAACGGAAAGGCCCUGCUUUUGUGGGGUGCUCGAGUGGCGAACGGGUGAGUAACACGCGAGUAACCUGCCCUUGACUUUGGGAUAACUUUAGGAAACUGGGGCUAAUACCGGAUAGGAGCUCCUGCUGCAUGGUGGGGGUUGGAAAGUUUCGGCGGUUGGGGAUGGACUGGCGGCUUAUCAGCUUGUUGGUGGGGUAGUGGCUUACCAAGGUUUUGACGGGUAGCCGGCCUGAGAGGGUGACCGGCGACAAUGGGACUGAGAGACGGCGCAGACGCCUACGUGAGGCAGCAGUGGAGAGUAUUGCGGAGUGGGCGGAAGCCUGAUGCAGCAACGCCGCGUGCGGGAUGACGGCCUACGGGUUGUAAACCGCUUUGGCCUGUGACGAAGCGUGAGUGACGGUAAUGGGUAAGGAAGCACCGGCUAACUACGUG